GAUGAAGAACGUAGCGAAAUGCGAUAAGUAAUGCGAAUUGCAGAAUUCAGUGAAUCAUCGAAUCUUUGAACGCACAUUGCGCCCGCUAGUAUUCUGGCGGGCAUGCCUGUCUGAGCGUCAUUUCAACCCUCGCCCCCGGCUUUUGCUGGGAGCGGUGUUGGGGAUCGGCCGCCCGUCACUGGGAGGCCGGCCCCGAAAUAGAGUGGCGACCACGCCGUGUGCUCCUCUGCGUAGUAGUAAAUCACCUCGCAGGCGGACAGCGGUGCGGCCUGCCGUAAAACCCCCAACUCUUUCUGGUUGACCUCAGAUCAGGUAGGAAUACCCGCUGAACUUAAGCAUACAAAAGCGGAGGA
rnacentral:misc_RNA from 1 species